rnacentral:rRNA from 1 species
ACCUGCGGAAGGAUCAUUACCGAACUGUCAAACACGGGUUGUUGCUGGCCCUCAAACGAGGACAUGUGCACGCUCUGUUUACACAUCCACUCACACCUGUGCACCCUCUGUAGUUCUAUGGUCAGGGGGAUCCGUCUCCCUCCUGUAGCUCUACGUUUUACACACACACUGUAGCAACGUCUUGGGAAUGUUUUUGCGUAUAACGUGAUACAAUACAACUUUCAGCAACGGAUCUCUUGGCUCUCGCAUCGAUGAAGAACGCAGCGAAAUGCGAUAAGUAAUGUGAAUUGCAGAAUUCAGUGAAUCAUCGAAUCUUUGAACGCACCUUGCGCCCCUCGGCUAUUCCUUGGGGCAUGCCUGUUUGAGUAUCAUGAACACCUCAACUCUCAUGGCUUGCCGUGAAGAGCUUGGACUUUGGGGGUUUGCCGGCUGUGUGGUCGGCUCCUCUCAAAUGGAUCAGCUUGCCAGUGUUUGGUGGCGUCACGGUGUGAUAACUAUCUACGCUUGUGGCUGUCUGCCGGGUAACCUCCGUCACAGGAGGUUCGCUGGGGCUUCCAAACGUCUUUCCUCUGUGAAGACAACCUUUGAACGUUCGAUCUCAAAUCAGGUAGGAUUACCCGCUGAACUUAAGCAUAUCAAUAAGCGGAGGAAAAGAAACUAACAAGGAUUCCCCUAGUAACUGCGAGUGAAGCGGGAAGAGCUCAAAUUUAAAAUCUGGGCGCGCCU